rnacentral:tRNA from 1 species
GCUCAACGGUGGACAUAUCACCGGCGAAGAGAGUCGCCCUCUCGAGGCAAUGACCGGGGUUCAAAUCCCCGUCGGAGCA